AGGAAUUCAACCUUCUCAGGAAACUUUUCUUUUUUGCACCUUAAUCAUUUUACAGUAAGGGCAAUAUAUGCUUUAAAGUGUGGGGGGAAGUACAUCGGGAUUUAAUUUUCUUCGAAUUGUUUAAGAGUAGGAUAUGUAUGAACCGAACACCUUGAAAUUCAAGGGAAAAAAGGCCAAAAUAGGAUUGGUGUCACAACACUGAGUCC
rnacentral:lncRNA from 1 species